UACGUAGGUGGCAAGCGUUAUCCGGAUUUACUGGGUGUAAAGGGCGCGUAGGCGGGAUGGCAAGUCAGAUGUGAAAUCCAGGGGCUCAACCCCUGAACUGCAUUUGAAACUGUCGUUCUUGAGUACUGGAGAGGUUGACGGAAUUCCUAGUGUAGCGGUGAAAUGCAUAGAUAUCACGCAGAACCCCGAUUGCGAAGGCAGCAUACCGGUGCACAACUGACGCUCAGGCACGAAAGCGUGGGUAUCAAACAGG
rnacentral:rRNA from 1 species